AGAGUUUGAUUAUGGCUCAGGAUGAACGCUAGCGAUAGGCCUAACACAUGCAAGUCGAGGGGCAGCACAUGAAGUAGCAAUACGGAUGGUGGCGACCGGCGCACGGGUGAGUAACGCGUAUGCAACCUGCCUACAACAGGGGAAUAACCCGUUGAGAGACGGACUAAUACCCCAUAACACAGGGAUCCCGCAUGGGAAUAUUUGUUAAAGGUUUAUCGGUUGUAGAUGGGCAUGCGUUCCAUUAGCUGGUUGGUGAGGUAACGGCUCACCAAGGCAACGAUGGAUAGGGGAACUGAGAGGUUUAUCCCCCACACUGGUACUGAGACACGGACCAGACUCCUACGGGAGGCAGCAGUGAGGAAUAUUGGUCAAUGGACGCAAGUCUGAACCAGCCACGUCGCGUGAAGGAAGACGGCCCUACGGGUUGUAAACUUCUUUUGUAAGGGAAUAAAGUGCAGUACGUGUACUGUUUUGCAUGUACCUUACGAAUAAGGAUCGGCUAACUCCGUGCCAGCAGCCGCGGUAAUACGGAGGAUCCGAGCGUUAUCCGGAUUUAUUGGGUUUAAAGGGUGCGCAGGCGGGAGAUUAAGUCGGCGGUGAAAUUUUGCAGCUCAACUGUAAAAGUGCCUUCGAAACUGGUUUUCUUGAGUGUGGAUGAAGUAGGCGGAAUUUGUGGUGUAGCGGUGAAAUGCAUAGAUAUCACGAGGAACUCCGAUUGCGCAGGCAGCUUACUAAACCAUAACUGACGCUCAGGCACGAAGGCGUGGGGAUCAAACAGGAUUAGAUACCCUGGUAGUC
rnacentral:rRNA from 1 species